rnacentral:rRNA from 1 species
GACGAACCGUGCGAACGUUAUUCGGAAUCACUGGGCUUAAAGCGCGUGUAGGCGGGAGGGCACGUCCGUUGCUGAAAUCCCCCGGCUCAACCGGGGAACGGGCGCGGAUACGACUCUCCUUGAGGGGCGUAGGGGGACCUGGAACUUCCGGUGGAGCGGUGAAAUGCGUUGAGAUCGGAAGGAACGCCCGUGGCGAAAGCGAGGUCCUGGACGACUACUGACGCUGAGACGCGAAAGCCAGGGGAGCGAACGGG